GCGGCAGGCCUAACACAUGCAAGUCGAACGGUAGCACAGAGAGCUUGCUCUCGGGUGACGAGUGGCGGACGGGUGAGUAAUGUCUGGGAAACUGCCUGAUGGAGGGGGAUAACUACUGGAAACGGUGGCUAAUACCGCAUAACGUCGCAAGACCAAAGAGGGGGACCUUCGGGCCUCUUGCCAUCAGAUGUGCCCAGAUGGGAUUAGCUAGUUGGUGAGGUAACGGCUCACCAAGGCGACGAUCCCUAGCUGGUCUGAGAGGAUGACCAGCCACACUGGAACUGAGACACGGUCCAGACUCCUACGGGAGGCAGCAGUGGGGAAUAUUGCACAAUGGGCGCAAGCCUGAUGCAGCCAUGCCGCGUGUAUGAAGAAGGCCUUCGGGUUGUAAAGUACUUUCAGCGGGGAGGAAGGUGUUGUGGUUAAUAACCGCAGCAAUUGACGUUACCCGCAGAAGAAGCACCGGCUAACUCCGUGCCAGCAGCCGCGGUAAUACGGAGGGUGCAAGCGUUAAUCGGAAUUACUGGGCGUAAAGCGCACGCAGGCGGUCUGUCAAGUCGGAUGUGAAAUCCCCGGGCUCAACCUGGGAACUGCAUUCGAAACUGGCAGGCUUGAGUCUUGUAGAGGGGGGUAGAAUUCCAGGUGUAGCGGUGAAAUGCGUAGAGAUCUGGAGGAAUACCGGUGGCGAAGGCGGCCCCCUGGACAAAGACUGACGCUCAGGUGCGAAAGCGUGGGGAGCAAACAGGAUUAGAUACCCUGGUAGUCCACGCCGUAAACGAUGUCUACUUGGAGGUUGUGCCCUUGAGGCGUGGCUUCCGGAGCUAACGCGUUAAGUAGACCGCCUGGGGAGUACGGCCGCAAGGUUAAAACUCAAAUGAAUUGACGGGGGCCCGCACAAGCGGUGGAGCAUGUGGUUUAAUUCGAUGCAACGCGAAGAACCUUACCUGGUCUUGACAUCCACGGAAGUUUUCAGAGAUGAGAAUGUGCCUUCGGGAACCGUGAGACAGGUGCUGCAUGGCUGUCGUCAGCUCGUGUUGUGAAAUGUUGGGUUAAGUCCCGCAACGAGCGCAACCCUUAUCCUUUGUUGCCAGCGAUUAGGUCGGGAACUCAAAGGAGACUGCCAGUGAUAAACUGGAGGAAGGUGGGGAUGACGUCAAGUCAUCAUGGCCCUUACGACCAGGGCUACACACGUGCUACAAUGGCGCAUACAAAGAGAAGCGACCUCGCGAGAGCAAGCGGACCUCAUAAAGUGCGUCGUAGUCCGGAUUGGAGUCUGCAACUCGACUCCAUGAAGUCGGAAUCGCUAGUAAUCGUGGAUCAGAAUGCCACGGUGAAUACGUUCCCGGGCCUUGUACACACCGCCCGUCACACCAUGGGAGUGGGUUGCAAAAGAAGUAGGUAGCUUAACCUUCGGGAGGGCGCUUACCACUUUGUGAUUCAUGACUGGGGUGAAGUCGUAACAAGGUAACCGUAGGGGAACCUGCGGUUGGAUCACCUCCUUACCUUAAAGAA
rnacentral:rRNA from 1 species